rnacentral:rRNA from 1 species
AUGGAGAAGUCUCGAAAGGUCGCCGGAGACGAGGCUGGAGAAGACCGUGACGCAUCCGGCGACGUGGGCAAGGAAGAUGAAUAUGUUGGAUACGUGGCAAAGGAAGCUGGGGAGGAUGGCCCGAAGAACUCGGAGGGUCUCGCGGCGGAUGCCGGUGACCCCGAGGUCACCGAGAUGCUGCUCAUCGGGUUCCCACUCCAUUGA